GAUGAACGCUAGCGGCAGGCCUAAUACAUGCAAGUCGAACGAGAUUAAGAGGCUUGCUUCUUAUGAAAGUGGCGCACGGGUGCGUAACGCGUAUGCAACCUACCUUAAUCAGGGGGAUAGCCCGAAGAAAUUCGGAUUAAGACCGCAUAAAAACACAGGAUAGCAUUAUCCAAUGUUCAAAUAUUUAUAGGAUUAAGAUGGGCAUGCGUGUCAUUAGCUAGUUGGCGGGGUAACGGCCCACCAAGGCGACGAUGACUAGGGGAUCUGAGAGGAUGACCCCCCGCACUGGUACUGAGACACGGACCAGACUCCUACGGGAGGCAGCAGUAAGGAAUAUUGGUCAAUGGAGGGAACUCUGAACCAGCCAUGCCGCGUGCAGGAAGACAGCCCUCUGGGUCGUAAACUGCUUUUAUUCGGGAAUAAACCUUUCUACGUGUAGGAAGCUGAAUGUACCGAAGGAAUAAGGAUCGGCUAACUCCGU
rnacentral:rRNA from 1 species